rnacentral:rRNA from 3 species
AAAUUGAAGAGUUUGAUCAUGGCUCAGAUUGAACGCUGGCGGCAGGCCUAACACAUGCAAGUCGAACGGUAACAGGAAGCAGCUUGCUGCUUUGCUGACGAGUGGCGGACGGGUGAGUAAUGUCUGGGAAACUGCCUGAUGGAGGGGGAUAACUACUGGAAACGGUGGCUAAUACCGCAUAACGUCGCAAGACCAAAGAGGGGGACCUUCGGGCCUCUUGCCAUCAGAUGUGCCCAGAUGGGAUUAGCUUGUUGGUGAGGUAACG